rnacentral:rRNA from 1 species
UACGAAGGGGGCUAGCGUUGUUCGGAUUUACUGGGCGUAAAGCGCACGUAGGCGGGUUGUUAAGUCAGGGGUGAAAUCCUGGAGCUCAACUCCAGAACUGCCUUUGAUACUGGCAACCUAGAGGCUGGAAGAGGUUAGUGGAAUUCCCAGUGUAGAGGUGAAAUUCGUAGAUAUUGGGAAGAACACCAGUGGCGAAGGCGGCUAACUGGUCCAGGUCUGACGCUGAGGUGCGAAAGCGUGGGGAGCAAACAGG